GACGAACGCUGGCGGCGUGCUUAACACAUGCAAGUCGAACGAGUGGCGAACGGGUGAGUAAUACGUGAGUAACCUGCCCUCUUUUUGGGAUAAGCCUUGGAAACGGGGUCUAAUACCGGAUAAAGGGGGAUGGGCUCGCGGCCUUUCAGCUUGUUGGUGGGGUGAUGGCCUACCAAGGCGGUGACGGGUGGCCGGCCUGAGAGGGUGGACUGCCACAGUGAGACUGAGAUACGGCCCAGACUCCGACGAGAGGGAGCAGGGGGGGAUAUUGCAGAAUGGGCGAAAGCCUGAUGCAGCGACGCCGCGUGGGGGAUGAAGGCUUUCGGGUUGUAAACCUGUUUCGCUAGCGAACGGGUAGGUGGAGAAGAAGCGCCGGCUAACUACGUGCCAGCCGCCGCGGUAAUUC
rnacentral:rRNA from 1 species